rnacentral:rRNA from 1 species
UACAUAGGGGGCAAGCGUUAUCCGGAAUUACUGGGUGUAAAGGGUGCGUAGGCGGUUAGGAAAGUCAGAUGUGAAAACCCAAGGCUCAACCAUGGGAAUGCAUUUGAAACUUCUUGACUAGAGUACAGGAGAGGUAAGUGGAAUUUCUAGUGUAGCGGUAAAAUGCGUAGAUAUUAGGAGGAACACCAGUGGCGAAGGCGACUUACUGGACUGAAACUGACGCUGAGGCACGAAAGCAUGGGGAGCGAACAGGAUUAGAUACCCUGGUAGUCCAUGCCGUAAACGAUGAAUGCUAGGUGUUGGGGUCUUAAGACCUCAGUGCCGCAGCUAACGCAAUAAGCAUUCCACCUGGGAAGUACGAUCGCAAGAUUGAA